rnacentral:rRNA from 1 species
GCCUCGGCGGAUCAGCCCGCUCCCGGUAAAACGGGACGGCCCGCCAGAGGACCCUUAAACUCUGUUUCUAUAUGUAACUUCUGAGUAAAACCAUAAAUAAAUCAAAACUUUCAACAACGGAUCUCUUGGUUCUGGCAUCGAUGAAGAACGCAGCAAAAUGCGAUAAGUAAUGUGAAUUGCAGAAUUCAGUGAAUCAUCGAAUCUUUGAACGCACAUUGCGCCCGCCAGUAUUCUGGCGGGCAUGCCUGUUCGAGCGUCAUUUCAACCCUCAAGCCCAGCUUGGUGUUGGGACUCGCGAGUUAAAUCGCGUUCCCCAAAUUGAUUGGCGGUCACGUCGAGCUUCCAUAGCGUAGUAGUAAAACCCUCGUUACUGGUAAUCGUCGCGGCCACGCCGUUAAACCCCAACUUCUGAAUGUUGACCUCGGAUCAGGUAGGAAUACCCGCUGAACUUAAGCAUAUC